rnacentral:snRNA from 1 species
CUGAGAGCGGGAGGUGAUCGCUGCUCUG